rnacentral:rRNA from 1 species
UGGGGAAUAUUGCACAAUGGGCGCAAGCCUGAUGCAGCAACGCCGCGUGAACGAUGAAGGUCUUCGGUUCGUAAAGUUCUGUUGCAGGGGAAGAUAAUGACGGUACCAUGUGAGGAAGCCCCGGCUAACUACGUGCCAGCAGCCGCGGUAAUACGUAGGGGGCUAGCGUUAUCCGGAUUCACUGGGCGUAAAGGGUGCGUAGGUGGUCUUUCAAGUCGGUGGUUAAAGGCUACGGCUCAACCGUAGUUAGCCUCCGAAACUGGAAGACUUGAGUGCAGGAGAGGAAAGGGGAAUUCCCAGUGUAGCGGUGAAAUGCGUAGAUAUUGGGAGGGACACCAGUAGCGAAGGCGGCUUUCUGGACUGCAACUGACACUGAGGCACGAAAGCGUGGGUAGCAAACAGG